GGGGGCGUGGCUCAGUGGUAGAGCACUUGCCUAACAUCCUAACAGGUGCAAGGCCCUGGGUUACAUUCCCAGNACCACCA
rnacentral:tRNA from 1 species